AGAGUUUGAUCCUGGCUCAGAACGAACGCUGGCGGCAUGCCUAACACAUGCAAGUCGAACGAAGGCUUCGGCCUUAGUGGCGCACGGGUGCGUAACGCGUGGGAAUCUACCCUUAGGUUCGGAAUAACUCAGAGAAAUUUGAGCUAAUACCGGAUAAUGUCUUCGGACCAAAGAUUUAUCGCCUUUGGAUGAGCCCGCGUAAGAUUAGCUAGUUGGUAGGGUAAAGGCCUACCAAGGCGACGAUCUUUAGCUGGUCUGAGAGGAUGAUCAGCCACACUGGGACUGAGACACGGCCCAGACUCCUACGGGAGGCAGCAGUGGGGAAUAUUGGACAAUGGGCGCAAGCCUGAUCCAGCCAUGCCGCGUGUGUGAAGAAGGCCUUUUGGUUGUAAAGCACUUUAAGCAGUGAAGAAGACUCCAUGGUUAAUACCCAUGGACGAUGACAUUAGCUGCAGAAUAAGCACCGGCUAACUCUGUGCCAGCAGCCGCGGUAAUACAGAGGGUGCAAGCGUUAAUCGGAAUUACUGGGCGUAAAGGGAGCGUAGGUGGCUCUAUAAGUCAGAUGUGAAAUCCCCGGGCUUAACCUGGGAACUGCAUCUGAAACUGUAGAGCUAGAGUAUGUGAGAGGAAGGUAGAAUUCCAGGUGUAGCGGUGAAAUGCGUAGAGAUCUGGAGGAAUACCGAUGGCGAAGGCAGCCUUCUGGCAUAAUACUGACACUGAGGCUCGAAAGCGUGGGUAGCAAACAGGAUUAGAUACCCUGGUAGUCCACGCCGUAAACGAUGUCUACUAGUCGUUGGGUCUGCUUAGCAGUGGUGGUAUCGAAGCUAACGCGUUAAGUGAUUCACCUGGGGGAGUACGGCCGCAAGGUUAAAACUCAAAGAAAUUGACGGGGGUCCGCACAAGCGGUGGAACAUGUGGUUUAAUUCGACACUACGCGAGGAACCUUACCUGUGCUUGACAUGUACUUGCCCGCUGUGGAAACACAGUUUUCCAGGCUUCGGUCUGGACGGGUACACAGGUGCUGCAUGGCUGUCGUCAGCUCGUGUCGUGAGAUGUUUGGUUAAGUCCUCUAACGAGCGCAACUCCUGUCGUCAGUUGCUAUGGUUUCGGCCAGCACUCUGACGAGACUGCCCGGGAAACCGGGAGGAAGGUGGGAACGACGUCAAGUCAUCAUGGUCCUUAUGUCCAGGGCUACACACGUGUUACAGUGGCCGAUACAAAGGGGAGCUAACCCGCGAGGGCAUGCAAAUCCCAGAAAGCUUGUCGUAGUCCGGAUUGGAGUCUGCAACUCGACUCCAUGAAGUCGGAAUCGCUAGUAAUCGUGGAUCAGAAUGCCACGGUGAAUACGUUCCCGGGCCUUGUACACACCGCCCGUCACACCAUGGGAGUAGGUUGCAAAAGAAGUGGCUAGUUUAACCUUCGGGAGGACGGUCACCACUUUGUGAUUUAUGACUGGGGUGAAGUCGUAACAAGGUA
rnacentral:rRNA from 1 species